rnacentral:rRNA from 1 species
GAUGAACGUCUGACGAGAAUGCUUAACACAUGCAAGUCGACUCGAGUCGUUCGGACUUGGGUGGCGCACGGGUGAGUAACGCGUAAAGAACUUGCCUCUUAGACCGGGACAACAUCUGGAAACGGAUGCUAAUACCGGAUAUUAUGGUUUUUUCGCAUGGAGGAAUCAUGAAAGCUAGAUGCGCUAAGAGAGAGCUUUGCGUCCCAUUAGCUAGUUGGUGAGGUAACGGCCCACCAAGGCAACGAUCGGUAGCCGGACUGAGAGGUUGAACGGCCACAUUGGGACUGAGACACGGCCCAG